UACGUAGGGGGCGAGCGUUUGUCCGGAUUUAUUGGGCGUAAAGAGCGUGUAGGCGGCCAGGUAGGUCUGCUGUGAAAACUCGAGGCUCAACCUCGAGACGUCGGCGGAAACCAUCUGGCUAGAGUCCGGAAGAGGAGAGUGGAAUUCCUGGUGUAGCGGUGAAAUGCGCAGAUAUCGGGAGGAACACCAGUAGCGAAGGCGGCUCGCUGGGCCAUUCCUGACGCUGAGACGCGAAAGCUAGGGGAGCGAACAGG
rnacentral:rRNA from 1 species